UGCUGGUAUCUAUAUAGAGAUGUCUGAUCAGAGCAUUAAGACCAUCAGUGUGCUAGCACCUUGCAAGCCUCACUUCUCAGCUUUGGAUCUGAAUCUUCUUCUAGAACUCGAAGAAGAUGAAGGCUACGCAAACCCUUUCACGUAGAUCUGAUGGGAUUUGAACCGGACCACCAAGAAGAGAGGAAAAACCUUUCUUCUUCUCUUCUCUUAUUUCUCAUUUCUCUCUCUAACAUCUAAUCUAAUCAAAUUAUGGGGUGUGGAGGUGAAGAAAUGAGGAAAGGAGGCAUUGAGAAGACUUCUAGUGGCAAGAAAGGCGCAGUAGAUCUCUCUCAUGCACACCCUCUCACUCUUCUUUUAUUUUAUUGUAUAAAAUUAUUGUUCCA
rnacentral:lncRNA from 1 species